GUCCCCGUCGUCUAGCCCGGCCCAGGACACCGCCCUUUCACGGCGUUGACACGGGUUCAAAUCCCGUCGGGGACGCCA
rnacentral:tRNA from 1 species